GACGAACGCUGGCGGCGUGCUUAACACAUGCAAGUCGAACGGAAAGGCCUCUUUCGGGGGGUACUCGAGUGACGAACGGGUGAGUAACACGUGAGUAACCUGCCCUUGACUUUGGGAUAACUUCAGGAAACUGGGGCUAAUACCGGAUAGGAGCUCCUGCUGCAUGGUGGGGGUUGGAAAGUUUCGGCGGUUGGGGAUGGACUCGCGGCUUAUCAGCUUGUUGGUGGGGUAGUGGCUUACCAAGGCUUUGACGGGUAGCCGGCCUGAGAGGGUGACCGGAGAAAUGGGGAGUGAGAGACGGCCAAGAGGCGGACGGGAGGGAGAAGGGGGGAAUAGGGGAGAAGGGGAGGAUGGCGUAUGAAGCAACGCCGCGUGAGGGAUGAAGGUCGGGGGGGGGUAGUGAGUGAAGGCCCGCGACGAAGAGUGAGGGAAGGGAAGGGGUAAAGAAGUAGGAGAGAAUUAAGUG
rnacentral:rRNA from 1 species